AUGCGCUGGAGAGAAAACAGAAAACCUUCAGAGUCUGAGCCCAAAAAAGCACCAGAACAACAUUUAUGAAACAUCUCUUAACUCAAAACAGCAUACUAAGUUUAUAGUGUCUUUACAAUCAUGAAAAAGAAUGAAUUUGCACUUGAAAUUAAACUUUAGAGUGACAUAGGGCAGUUUUUGAUUUUCUUUAAUGACUAAUAGGUUUGGGUCUCACCAGACUUCUCAUGGUUUUCAUUCCAGUUCUUCUGGUGUCAUUCAUCAAAACUCAACUUCCUACUGAUUCUUUUCUUGAGCAACAAUGAAAUAUAACAAUAAAGGCUGAUGUUUUUUAGCAGGA